UUAGGAAAGACCGGUGCAAGCGGGACAGUAGCCAUGCAGGCAAAUCCGUGUGGCAAUACGAAGACGUGACGCGGACCGAAAUAAAGUAGGGAAGCAUGUGAGCCAUGUGCCAAGAAAAGCCGCUAUAGAUCAUACCGUACCCGUACCGUAAACCGACACAGGUAGAUGAGGAGAGAAUCCUAAGGCCGACGGGAGAAGCAUUGUUAAGGAACUCGGCAAAAUGACCCCGUAACUUCGGGAGAAGGGGUGCCCACGCGAGUGGGCCGCAGAGAAUAGGCUCAAGCAACUGUUUAGCAAAAACACAGGUCUAUGCGAAACCGAAAGGUGAGGUAUAUGGGCUGACGCCUGCCCGGUGCUGGAAGGUUAAGAGGAGGAGUCAGGCAACGAAGCUCCGAAUUUAAGCCCCAGUAAACGGCGGCCGUAACAAUAACGGUCCUAAGGUAGCGAAAUUCCUUGUCGGGUAAGUUCCGACCCGCACGAAAGGCGUAAUGAUUUGAGCACUGUCUCGACAAUGCACCCGGUGAAAUUGAAGUACCAGUGAAGAUGCUGGUUACCUGCGCCAGGACGGAAAGACCCCAUGGAGCUUUACUCCAGUUUGAUACUGGGAUUCGAUACUGAAUGUACAGGAUAGGUGGGAGGCUGAGAAGCGUGGACGCCAGUCUGCGGUGAGCCGCUGUUGGGAUACCACCCUUUGAGUAUUGGAUUUCUAACCUGCGCCCGUGACCCGGGCGGGGGACAAUGUCUGACGGGGAGUUUGACUGGGGCGGUCGCCUCCGAAAGGGUAUCGGAGGCGCUCAAAGGUUCCCUCAGAAUGGUUGGAAACCAUUCGCAGAGUGCAAAGGCAGAAGGGGGCUUGACUGUGACACCGACGGGUGGAGCAGGUACGAAAGUAGGACUUAGUGAUCCGGUGGUAUGAAAGUGGGAUUGCCAUCGCUCAACGGAUAAAAGCUACCCUGGGAUAACAGGCUUAUCACUCCCAAGAGUUCACAUCGACGGAGUGGUUUGGCACCUCGAUGUCGGCUCAUCGCAUCCUGGGGCUGUAGCAGGUCCCAAGGGUUGGGCUGUUCGCCCAUUAAAGCGGUACGCGAGCUGGGUUCAGAACGUCGUGAGACAGUUCGGUCCCUAUCCGGCGCAGGCGUAGGAUAUUUGAGAGGAGCUGUCCUUAGUACGAGAGGACCGGGAUGGACAGACCGCUGGUGUAUCUGUUGGUGACCAACACCAUGGCAGAGUAGCCAAGUCUGGCAGGGACAAACGCUGAAGGCAUCUAAGCGUGAAGCCCCCCUCAAGAUGAGAUAUCCCAAUAAGUAAGACCCCUUAGAGAGUAUGAGGUAGAUAGGCUUAAGGUGUAAGCAUAGUAAUAUGUUCAGCUGAUAAGUACUAAUAGGUCGAGGGCUUAUGAAA
rnacentral:rRNA from 1 species